UCCAAAAAGCUAACGAUCCACUUGCAGAG
rnacentral:sRNA from 1 species